AGACCAGGACAGCUUGUCCAGCUCAAACUACAGCCUUGCUGCACUGGGACACACCUUCUGCACUGACCGCUCCUGGGAAUCUCGGUUGGCUUCCAUUUACAGCAAAGCCCAAAAGUCAGUGGCUCCCUCUGCCUCCUCUGUCAAGCCUUCCAGGACCUCCUGGGUGUCCUCGCUCGCUCACUUGGAGUCCCACCAGGCUCUGACCUCGGCCCACAGCAGAGCACCCCCUUUUGGUGCACAUGUCACCUUCUCUGUCCCUGAACUGUCCCGUCCAUGUCUACUCGCCGUUUCAGAGUUCUCUGCCCUCCUGACUUUCAUCUCCCCUGGCAACAAACAGACAAC